GGUAAAUGAUCUGGAGUGUGUUUGCAUAUUGAUCAGAUGCUUCAGUGCUCUGAGAGUGUUUAUAGUGCUGUGAGUUUAACACUUCAUCACUGACACACACAACAAUCUUCAUCAACAUGACCUUCAUCAUCAUCUUCAUCUGGACUCUCACAGCGUUUGCUCAAGAGUGUAGAGGACAGAUCACCGUCACUCAGAGUCCCUCAAUGACAGCAGCUCAACCAGGAAAAACAGUCAAAAUCAACUGUAAAACCAGCAGUGAUGUUCACUAUUUUGCAGGAGGCUGGUACUUACAGAAACCUGGAGAAGCUCCUAAACUCCUCAUAUAUCAUGUAACAACGUUCCAGUCAGGAACUCCAUCUAGAUUCAGUGGCAGUGGAUCUAACAGUGAUUUCACUCUGACCAUCAGUGGAGUCCAGACUGAAGAUGCUGGACAUUAUUACUGUCAGAGUGUACAUGAAAUCAACAGUAACUGGGUGUUCACACAGUGAUAAAGAGUCGUACAAAAACCUCUGUCAGU